GGAAAACUUACCAGGACAAGACAUGAGAAGGAUUGACAGAUUGAUCGCUCUUUCUUGAUUUUAUGGGUGGUGGUGCAUGGCCGUUCUUAGUUCGUGGAGUAAUUUGUCUGGUUAAUUCCGUUAACGAACGAGACCUUAACUAGCUAAUUGGUGGGAGUUGUUAAUUUGUAUUCACAACUACCCGUAUUAGAAGGACCAUGUGUUUCUAGCACAAGGAAGCGUGAGGCAAUAA
rnacentral:rRNA from 1 species